rnacentral:rRNA from 1 species
GGACGAGCGCUGGCGGCGUGCCUAAUACAUGCAAGUCGAGCGAAUCAAUGGGAGCUUGCUCCCUGAGGUUAGCGGCGGACGGGUGAGUAACACGUGGGUAACCUGCCUGUAAGACUGGGAUAACUUCGGGAAACCGGAGCUAAUACCGGAUAGUUUCUUUUCUCGCAUGAGAAGAGAUGGAAAGAUGGUUUUGCUAUCACUUACAGAUGGACCCGCGGCGCAUUAGCUAGUUGGUGAGGUAACGGCUCACCAAGACAACGAUGCGUAGCCGACCUGAGAGGGUGAUCGGCCACACUGGGACUGAGACACGGCCCAGACUCCUACGGGAGGCAGCAGUAGGGAAUCUUCCGCAAUGGACGAAAGUCUGACGGAGCAACGCCGCGUGAGCGAAGAAGGCCUUCGGGUCGUAAAGCUCUGUUGUUAGGGAAGAACAAGUACGAGAGUAACUGCUCGUACCUUGACGGUACCUAACCAGAAAGCCACGGCUAACUACGUGCCAGCAGCCGCGGUAAUACGUAGGUGGCAAGCGUUGUCCGGAAUUAUUGGGCGUAAAGCGCGCGCAGGCGGUCCUUUAAGUCUGAUGUGAAAGCCCACGGCUCAACCGUGGAGGGUCAUUGGAGACUGGGGGACUUGAGUGCAGAAGAGGAGAGUGGAAUUCCACGUGUAGCGAUGAAAUGCG